rnacentral:lncRNA from 1 species
CUUGUUCAAUUCUAUUGCUGAGACUUUCCAGUGCAUUUUGCAUUUCUCUAAGUGUGUCCUUCAUUUCCAGAAUUUGUGAUUGUCUUUUGUUUAUGUUAUCUAUUUCACUGGAGAUUUUUCCAUUCAUAUCCUGUAUCAUUGUUUUUAUUUCUUUAAGCUGAACUUCGUAUUUCUCUGGUGCCUCCUUGAUUAGCUUAAUAAUCGACCUUCUGAAUUCUUCUCCUGGCAAUUCAGAGAUUUUAUCUUUGCUGGUGAGCUAGUAUAAUCUUUUGGGGGUAUUAAAUAAUCUUGUUUUGUCAUAUUACCAGAAUUGUUUUUCUGGUUCCUUCUUUUUUGGGUAGACUAUGUCAGAGGAAAGAUCUGGGACUCAAGGGCUGCUGUUCAGAUUCUUUUGUCCCACGAAGUGCUCCCUUGAUUUGGUGCUUUCCCCCUUCUUCUAGGGAUGGGGCAUCCUGAGAGCCAAACUGCCAUUAUUGUUAUUUCUGUUCUGGAUUUAGCCACUCAGCGGAGCUACUGGGCUCCAGGCCGGUACUGGGGAAUAUCUGCAAAGAGUCCUGUGAUGUUAUCCGUCUUCAGGUCUUUCAGCCAUGGAUACAAGCACCUGCUCUGGUGGAGGUAGCAGGGAACUGAAGUAGACUCUGUGAGGGGUCCGUGGUUGUAUUUUUAAGUGCACUGAUUUUGUGUUGGCUGGCCUCCAGCCAAAAGGUAGCACUUUCAAAAGUGCAUCAGCUGCAGUAGUAUAGGGAGGAUACAAGCUUGCCCAAGUAUCAGGUGGUGGGCAGGGCUAUAGAGCUCCCAAGAGAUUAUGUCCUUUGUCUCCAGCUACCAGGGUGGGUGGAGAAAGAUCAUCACGUUGAGGCGGGGUUAGGCUGUCUGAGUUCAGACUCUCCUUGGGUGGAGCUUGCUGCAGCUGCUGUGGGGGAUGGAGUUGUGGUUUCCCAGGCCAGUGGAGUUAUGGUCCCAGAGGGAUUAUGGCUGCCACUGCUGCAUCACACAGGUUGCCAGGAAAGUGGGGGAAACCCGGCAACCACAGGCCUCACCCGUCUCCCAUGCAGCCCAAAAGUCCAGUCUCACUCCCACCAUGUCCCCGCAAACAGCACUGAAUUUAUUUCCAGGCAACCAGUGAGCAAGGCUGAGAACUUGUCCCAGGUUACGAGACUCCCAGGUACAGUCAUGUGCCGCAUAAUGACAUUCAGUCAAUGACAGACUGCAUAUAUGAGGUGGUCCUGUAAGGUGAUAAUGGAGCUGAAAAAUUCCUACUACUGAACGACAUCAUAGCCAUUGUAACAUCAUAGCACAACCAAUCACCUUUUCUAUAUUUAGGAGCAAAGGCAAUACAAUGGAGAAGACAGUCUUUUAACAAAGGUGCUGGAAUAACUGGACAGCCAUGCACACACACAGAAAAGAAUCGAGACACAGACUUUACAUCUUCACAAAGGUAAUGCAAAAUGGAUCAUACACCUAAAUGUAAAAUACACAAUUAUGAAACUCCUAGAAGAUAACAUAGGAGAAAAUCUGACAACCUUGGGUUUGGCAAUGACUUUUUAGGUACAACACUGAAGGCACCGCCCAUGAAAGAAACAACUGAUAGGCUGAACUCCAUUAAAAUUAAAAGCUUUUGCUCUGCAAAUACAAGAGAAUGAGAACACAAACCCAAGAUGGCUACAGAAGUUCUGGAAAUAUACCAGACGUGGCAAUGCUGCAGAGGAAGGAGGGAGAAUAUGCCUUUCUGCAGAUCUUUCUUGGAGGAGAGGCAAGUUUCUCCAAAAUUACUCAGAUGAUUUCCCCUCAUGUGUCUCUGGCUGGAAUUAGGUCACAUGGCCAUUCCUGAACAAAAAGACAAGGAAAAUAAGACUUUUCUUAUACCCAGCCACUCCUGGGGCUGGGAGUAAGGUCAGAUUUUUCCAGGUACAUGGGCUGUGUUAAACAGUGGGGAAAUACCUCAAUAAAAUCGGGGUUCUGUUAGAAGGAAAGAAAGGAGGAGGUAACCAGUGUUACCUCAGGACCAAACCCCAAAGGGUGUUUGGGAUGGGGGAGCUGUGAAGCAUUCAGUUUGGUAAAAGCAACCUGGAGGUUAUCAGGGUUAGUGGCCUCCUUCUAGCAGCAUGGCUGUGGGUGGCUCUAAGUCUCUAGGGAAGUCCCCAUUCGGUUCAGUGCCACACCCAGUGCAUUUUGGGACUGAGGCUAUUGGUGGGCUCAUGCUGAAGGGCCUGCUGUGGCAUCCCCAAUUCCUCAUGGCCUGGGCAGGGCACACAGACACCCAGAGGUUCCCACAUGCCCUGCCAAGAGGUCAAAGAGGGGCUGCGCGGUCCAGUGGACCAGCACAGAGUUUGGAGUAGAAUGUCAUGAGUCUUCUUCCUCUCUCUAGAAAUAUUCCCAGCUCCUUUGUGUCUUCUCUACAGCCUGCGGCUGAGCUUUGCCCAUCCCCAUGAAGACUCCAUUGUGUCAGGGGACUGCUUUUGCCCACACCUGAGUCCUUGCUUUUUGCCCCAUUUGGGGAACACCCAUCUGGCAUGGCCAAUACCUUCAGGGCUUCACCCCUAGGCCUCUGUGCAGAAUCAAAGGCCUAGGUACAAUUUGGCUUUGGUAUUUUUUCCUCCACUUCUGUAAAAACAUCUAACGAAACCAUGGCAAACAUCCAUCAGCAUCAAAUUUCUUUCCUGUUAAUAGAUCAUUCUGAGUCGCAUUCUCUUAUUUUGCUUUUCUUUAAAUUAACUCAAACUAUUCCUGCGCUCUCAGAGUGAAGUGUCCAAGGUGGCCAAUACUGCACCUGUGCCACCUCACUUAUUCUGUCUCCCGGUGACAGUCACAACUUUCCUAUUGAAACAAGAAAGCACCCAGCCAGGACCCCAUCUCCGUGUAUUCAGGCAGGAACCACUUACCCUGGCUCGGAAGUCCCUCCUGCCAUGCACACUGGAAAUCCCCAGGGCUGACCCUCCGCAGCAGCCUUUCCUGAAUUGCCGUGUAGCUUCCUCAGACUUCCUGCCUGCCCCCACCCCAUCCUUUCUCCUCAAAGCCUUGUUUCUGCAGUCACCUUUUCCGUCAUUAUUCACGUCAUACCUCACAUUGCUCCCGAGUUUCCUGAAUUCAGUGGUAAGGGGUAUGCUCUCACCUUCAUCUUCUGUGUCCCUCAACCCUACUCAUCUCUGCCUAUCAUAUCCCCCUUCCACCAACAGAUCCCAUUCCUAAGAAUGCUGCCCCACCACUCCCUUGGGUGUCCUUCCCCCUUCCUUGGUUCCAUAUCCCCUGUAACACAAUAGACCAAUCCCUUUAGAAAAGUCUUAACUGAGCCCUGAUGGAUGACCCAGGUCAAAGUUUCCAAAGGCCAGUCUACCCACUAGAUUCUGAUCUGUAUCAGAACUACCUGGGGAGUUUUUGAAAAGGCACACUCAGCUGGGUACAGUGGCUCACGCCUGUAAUCCCGGCAAUUUGGGAAGCUGAGGC